CCCUGAUUGCCUCCGACGAAUGUGGUCUCCGCGACCGAUAUCGGCGGUAAUAAUGUGCGUAGAGAGCUCCUGCUGGGAACAUGCCAUCUUACGGGACAGCCAAACAAAUGAACUUACUACGGAUCGUCCUCUUCGAGGAAGUGACUUCUGCUCUGACAUGGGCGAGAUGUCUGAAGAAGUGCUCGACGUACCGUGAUAAAUGAAAUCGGAAACGGCCCGAACUAGAAGUAAAAUUUUAUUAUUAAGGUAUCAUUUUAUGAACGAGUUGGAUGGAUGAUUACGCAUACUGUGUUUGAGUUUGCCCGCGUCCAGUUGGUUGGAAGACUCUGUGCGAGAGCUCGUCAACUGGUCCGGGUCAGACUCGCUCUCGUCGGUCUCGACAUCGCCCGGAGUUUGUUGCUUUCUCUGCUGUCGUCUCCUCGAGGAAACGCUCUUCAUGCUCUGUGAAUAUAACACGAUAUGUGGAGGGCUUGCGCACCCUUCGGUCAUGGCGUGCUCGUGAUACAUGAAACUGUGUAGCAGAGUGUUGUUCGGGUGGAGGCCGGCUGCUGAAGCUUCCGCCGCGCCUCCCAGUCCUCCCAACCCUCCCAACCCUGCCAGGCUUCCCCCGCCACCCUCCGAAAGCUGGAACGUAGCGUACGGCGAGAUGUCCUCCGCUGUCUCUGUAACCCACCAGAGGCAUUGCCUACCUUUCAAAUCGCGUUGGGAUGAAUUUUUUAUGUGAGAAUCGAUUUUUAUCUGCUCUACUAUAGAAUGAUUUUACUUUCAUUUUGUAAUUUCUCUGUUAUAAUUGCUAACGUGAACUAUGAUUCUUGAGAAGCAACUGAUUUCUUGAGGAGAAUAUCACGAAACUAUCAUCAUCAAUCAAACGCACCUCUGUGAAAUUUUGGUUUAUUCUGUUAAUAGAUGUUUUUGAAAGUAUAGAAUAAAAUAUCCAAUAAUGCAAUUACAAUAAUAUUCUUUUAUAUCAGAAUAUAUUUUUUUAUAAUAUUCUCCUGAGAGCAGAAUUGACAAACACAGAAUUGACUACAAAUCUCUCUAAUGAGUUCUUGUCGCUAUUAAUUUAGAAAUUUUAGUGAUAUUCUAAGUGAUACAGUUUCUAAAAAGUUACAGAGGGUGGUUGAUGAAGGCAGAAGCAAUGCAUGAUGAAGUGUCGAAUGAAAUAUGCGGUGGAACACGAGUGAAACAUUCAAGAUCGGUCGCAUAAAGGGUAAAAAGAAAAAAGACGAUGAUCUAUGGUGAUGAGAGGAAGAUGUAAAAUAAUCCACCUUUGCUUUGUGAACUGCAAUCGAACGCUAACGGGUCUGCCCACUUUGGUUGAACAGCGCUACGCGUGCGAUUUUCUUUUACCUGAACAACAAUUAUAGUACCAAACCUGGCUGUCGUCCGUAUCGUAACAAAGGUUCACCUGGAAUCUUGUCGGGCCCUCCACCCGUAUUCGCCGCUUGUUGUAAAGCCACCUUGUGAAUCGUCGCGUAGUAACGCUCUCUUUGGGUUUCGGCAUUCUGUUGAUUCUCUUGGGUUUCUUUCAUGGGACGCUGCAUUCUGUCUCCGAGAUAUCCUUAUAUAUAAAUAGAAAUAAAAUAUGUAUGUACUUUAUAUGAAUAAAUAGGAUUUAUUUACAAUAUAUCUAUCGCCGAUCUAAAUUGUCUCAUGAUCCAUUGAUUGUGAGUUUCACCAAGUGGAACAUCAAUAUCUCAUGGGUUAUAUGCAAGAUGAAACAUUAUUAUGAAAUAUAGAUAAUCAAAUAUCACAGUAAUUUAUUUUA